rnacentral:rRNA from 2 species
CAGGCCUAACACAUGCAAGUCGAACGGUAACAGGAAGCAGCUUGCUGCUUCGCUGACGAGUGGCGGACGGGUGAGUAAUGUCUGGGAAACUGCCUGAUGGAGGGGGAUAACUACUGGAAACGGUGGCUAAUACCGCAUAACGUCGCAAGACCAAAGAGGGGGACCUUCGGGCCUCUUGCCAUCAGAUGUGCCCAGAUGGGAUUAGCUUGUUGGUGAGGUAACGGCUCACCAAGGCGACGAUCCCUAGCUGGUCUGAGAGGAUGACCAGCCACACUGGAACUGAGACACGGUCCAGACUCCUACGGGAGGCAGCAGUGGGGAAUAUUGCACAAUGGGCGCAAGCCUGAUGCAGCCAUGCCGCGUGUAUGAAGAAGGCCUUCGGGUUGUAAAGUACUU